GUAAGGAAUAUUGGUCAAUGGACGAAAGUCUGAACCAGCCAUGCCGCGUGGAGGAUGAAGGUCCUCUGGAUUGUAAACUUCUUUUAUCUGGGACGAAAAAAGGUCUUUCUAGAUCGUCUGACGGUACCAGAUGAAUAAGCACCGGCUAACUCCGUGCCAGCAGCCGCGGUAAUACGGAGGGUGCAAGCGUUAUCCGGAUUCACUGGGUUUAAAGGGUGCGUAGGUGGGUUGGUAAGUCAGUGGUGAAAUCUUCGAGCUUAACUCGGAAACUGCCAUUGAUACUAUCAGUCUUGAAUAUUGUGGAGGUUAGCGGAAUAUGUCAUGUAGCGGUGAAAUGCUUAGAUAUGACAUAGAACACCAAUUGCGAAGGCAGCUGGCUACACAUAUAUUGACACUGAGGCACGAAAGCGUGGGGAUCAAACAGGAUUAGAAACCCUUGUAGUCC
rnacentral:rRNA from 1 species